rnacentral:lncRNA from 1 species
CGGCAUGGUAGGCGAGAAAUCAGCUUGAAAAAUUUUUCUCUUAAUUUUGCAGUGCUGUAAUUCUGUCUGAUGGGCAAUGAUGAUCUUCAACUCUUUAUGUUCACACUUUUAUUUUUCUUCCUCAAAUUUUCGAACUGGAUCUUCAACAGAUCGACUGCAACACUUCACCGCAAUCACCUUUAAUGAUGGAAUUUCAACAGAUCGACUGCCUUUCAUUCUUUUUUCUAAUUUAUGAACG